UAUUGCAAAAAAAAAAAUGAGAAUUCGGCACUUAUACAAGCUUAUGAUCUCUAUUUAUAUAUGAAAACUCGGUCUAUAAACAUGAAUCAUCUCUGAGGCAAAAACUGCAAGCUAAAAACAGAGGCCUCAAUACAAUUUCAAUCUGUCUGAUAAUGGCCUGACAAUGCAACCAACGCUUACCAUGUUCUAGUAGCCACUUAAACAAUUUAAAGAUUGAAUGCACCUACAUUUAGUGACAUUUUCUCUAUAUCUAGUGGAACGACCAUUAUGUAUUAAACAACUCUAGGAUGACGAAACCCAUUGACCAAAAUGUGACACGAUUAGGUAGAAGCUGAUUAUGCAUAUAUCCUAACCCAAUUACUUCUUAAUGGAAUGGUGAAUGGCCAAUGUUCUCGCACUGUUUUUGUGUAAGUCUCUUGUAAUUUAGCUCCCAUUGGCUACAUAAAUGCUUAUAACCUUUUAAAAUUACCUAAAAAGCAACAGGUUAUUGUCAGUAGGCAAUGUAGAAGCUAGGAAACUAAAAGGAUUCUAGCUGUCCAACUGUGGAGGGUAUUGUUACAAAGGCUGUGUUAGUAAAGUUCCAACAGACAUUUGUUACAGCUCAAGCAACUCUUCGUCGUUUUUCUAUGACUGCUUUGUCAAGGGUGGUGAUGCAUCAAUUAUGAUUUUCUCACCAAACGGAGAUGCAGGGAAAGAUGUUCCAGAGAAUCUCUCGCUGGCUGGUGAUGGAUUUGACACAGUCAUAUAGACAAAACUUCUCUAUAAUUUCUCGCUCUCUAACCCAGUUGACCCUACACUUAACCCUGCCUAUAUUGAGCAAUUCCUGCAAAUCUGUCCAACAAAUGAAGAAUCAUUCUAGGAAAUGUCAUUUCAUUUAACAUCCAGCUUUAAAGUUCACGCUUGUACAUGUUCUGUUCAAUGGUUUCAAUGCCUGCAAAAUAAUGUGCACAUAAGUGAUGUUAUUAGCAUUGAAAUGCAUGAAGCAAAACUGAUGUUAGUUGCCUCAGAAAUCUGGCUGAUGCAGGACUUUUAUCUUAGUAGUUCAUCUUUAUGCUCA